rnacentral:misc_RNA from 1 species
AAGAAGAAGCGUAUGAGGAGAUUGAAGAGGAAACGCCGAAAGAUGAGACAGAGAUCCAAAUAGGUGUUUGGACUGGGACAAAAUGGGAUUUUCUCCUGAUAUCAACAGCUUUUGCUGCACGAAGUAGGUUGCUGUAGGAUGUUUGUUAGGGGGAACUGCAUUUGUUUCUGUCUUCUAGUUUUAGUUGUAGCAACUUUUCUAGGAAUUAGUGUUCUUCAACUUGCUGGUUAAAAUGUUGAGUUGUGUUUGGUUUGCUGUUACGUUUCUAAAUUGAUUAUAGAGCUUGUUAAAAAGCUUUAUGUGCUAUGAACUGGUGCUGAAUAUAACAGUUGAUUUUUUUUUUCAGUAUUUUUAAAUGCAAAAGUCCGAUUUUGG